rnacentral:lncRNA from 1 species
CUUCCCCCGUGCUUAAACUGUAUCAGGUGCUAUGUUUGUGGUGGUAAUUCUGGGAUGUCCUGUAAGGGCCCCGAGAUGGAUAAGGUUAGUCUGCUAGGUAUCCAGGAUCCUGUACAAGAAUGCAAUGAUCUCAUUAACAACAGAGGAUGUGUCAAACAAUAUGUCAAUGGAGG